rnacentral:rRNA from 1 species
UACGAAGGGGGCUAGCGUUGCUCGGAAUCACUGGGCGUAAAGCGCACGUAGGCGGAUUGCUAAGUCAGGGGUGAAAUCCUGGAGCUCAACUCCAGAACUGCCCUCGAUACUGGCGGUCUCGAGUCCGGGAGAGGUGAGUGGAACUGCGAGUGUAGAGGUGAAAUUCGUAGAUAUUCGCAAGAACACCAGUGGCGAAGGCGGCUCACUGGCCCGGUACUGACGCUGAGGUGCGAAAGCGUGGGGAGCAAACAGG